rnacentral:rRNA from 1 species
AUUGAACGCUGGCGGCAGGCCUAACACAUGCAAGUAGAGCGGAGCGGCGGACGGGUGAGUGAUGCCUAGGAAUCUGCCUGGUAGUGGGGGAUAACGUCCGGAAACGGGCGCUAAUACCGCAUACUAUCAGAUUCACGUAGGUCGGAUUAGCUAUUGGGUGGGGUAAGUGCCUACCAAGGCGACGAUCCGAAACUGGUCUGAGAGGUGGAUCAGUCACACUGGAACUGAGACACGGUCCAGACUCCUACGGGAGGCAGCAGUGGGGAAUAUUGGACAAGGGGCGAAAGCCUGAUCCAGCCAUGCCGCGUGUGUGAAGAAGAUCUUCGGAUUGUAAAGCACUUUAAGUUGGGAGGCGUUACCAACAGAAUAAGCACCGGCUAACUUCGUGCCAGCAGCCGCGGUAAUUC